rnacentral:rRNA from 1 species
UCCAGACUCCUACGGGAGGCAGCAGUGGGGGAUAUUGCACAAUGGGGGGAACCCUGAUGCAGCGACGCCGCGUGGGUGAAGGAGCGUUUCGGCGCGUAAAGCCCUAUCGGCAGGGAAGAAGGAGGACGGUACCUGACUAAGAAGCCCCGGCUAACUACGUGCCAGCAGCCGCGGUAAUACGUAGGGGGCAAGCGUUAUCCGGAUUUACUGGGUGUAAAGGGGGCGCCGACGGCAGCGCAAGCCAGGAGUGAAAGCCCGGGGCCCAACCCCGGGACUGCUCUUGGAACUGCGCGGCUGGAGUGCAGGAGGGGCAGGCGGAAUUCCUGGUGUAGCGGUGAAAUGCGUAGAUAUCAGGAGGAACACCGGUGGCGAAGGCGGCCUGCUGGACUGCGACUGACGUUGAGGCCCGAAAGCGUGGGGAGCAAACAGGAUUAGAUACCCCGGUACA